AGGACGAACGCUGGCGGCGUGCUUAACACAUGCAAGUCGAGCGGAAAGGCCCUUCGGGGUACUCGAGCGGCGAACGGGUGAGUAACACGUGAGUAAUCUGCCCCUAGCUCUGGGAUAGCUCCGGGAAACCGGGAUUAAUACCGGAUACGACCACCUUAGACAUCUUUUGUGGUGGAAAGAAUUUCGGCUAGGGAUGAGCUCGCGGCCUAUCAGCUUGUUGGUGGGGUAAUGGCCUACCAAGGCGACGACGGGUAGCCGGCCUGAGAGGGCGACCGGCCACACUGGGACUGAGACACGGCCCAGACUCCUACGGGAGGCAGCAGUGGGGAAUAUUGCGCAAUGGGCGAAAGCCUGACGCAGCGACGCCGCGUGGGGGAUGAAGGCCUUCGGGUUGUAAACCCCUUUCAGCAGGACGAAGCGAAGUGACGGUACCUGCAGAAGAAGCGCCGGCUAACUACGCGCCAGCAGCCGC
rnacentral:rRNA from 1 species